rnacentral:rRNA from 1 species
GAUCAUGGCUCAGGAUGAACGCUAGCGGCAGGCUUAACACAUGCAAGUCGAGGGGUAGAGUUCUUCGGGACUUGAGACCGGCGCACGGGUGCGUAACGCGUAUGCAAUCUACCUUAUACAGGGGAAUAGCCCAGAGAAAUUUGGAUUAAUGCCCCAUAGUGUUAUCGAAUCGCAUGGUUUGAUAACUAAAGUUCCAACGGUAUAAGAUGAGCAUGCGUCCCAUUAGUUAGUUGGUAAGGUAACGGCUUACCAAGACAAUGAUGGGUAGGGGUCCUGAGAGGGAGAUCCCCCACACUGGUACUGAGACACGGACCAGACUCCUACGGGAGGCAGCAGUGAGGAAUAUUGGUCAAUGGGCGCAAGCCUGAACCAGCCAUGCCGCGUGCAGGAAGACGGUCCUAUGGAUUGUAAACUGCUUUUAUACAGGAAGAAACCCUCCCACGUGUGGGAGCUUGACGGUACUGUAGGAAUAAGGAUCGGCUAACUCCGUG